rnacentral:lncRNA from 1 species
UAAAAAACGGAAGUCAAAAUCAAAUAUAGUUUUUUUUUAACUUGAUUUAAAUGUACAGUGUAAUUGAAAGAAUUAACAACAACGUUUUGACUUUUAUUUUAAUCUUUCAUUUGUUUCAAGCAAUCAGAUAUAACCUGAUAAUCAAUAGACAGGAAAUACAAUUGUUUAAUUACAUUAGAAAUCUCGCAUACCUUGACUGUCGAGUGCCGGCAUAGAUCAGAAGGAUUAGGGCAAUUAAUUACCUGGUGUGACACCGCGUCACUCCAGACUGGGAGAGAUGUCGCUAAUACAAUAUAACAAAAGGUAACGGAUUUACGCGGAAGUCGGAGGGAAUACUCCCAAAUUUCUCCGACAAUUUAGGGAGUGAUGUCGGAGUUUCCUGGUGUCACACCAGCAAAAAACUCGGUGUUUGGAGUUUG